AUGACGCGUCCUCUGACGCUUCAACUAUAAAAAAAAAGUCUGUUCUUAUCAGUUUAAUAUCUGAUACGUCCCCUAUCUGGGGACCAUAUAUUAAAUGAUUUUUCGAACAGGGAGAUGGAAAAAGAGCUUGCUCUGUCCACUCCACGCAUUGACCUGGUAUUGCAGCACCUACAGGACCGGUGCAUCCUUU